UACGAAGGGGGCUAGCGUUGCUCGGAAUGACUGGGCGUAAAGGGCGCGUAGGCGGAUCGUACAGUCGGGUGUGAAAUUCCUGGGCUCAACCUGGGGGCUGCACCCGAGACGUAAGGUCUAGAGUGUGAAAGAGGGUCGUGGAAUUCCCAGUGUAGAGGUGAAAUUCGUAGAUAUUGGGAAGAACACCGGUGGCGAAGGCGGCGACCUGGUUCAUUACUGACGCUGAGGCGCGAAAGCGUGGGGAGCAAACAGG
rnacentral:rRNA from 1 species